AGUAGUAAUAUAAUAUAAAACUCAAGUAUAAUGGCGGUUUUAAUAUAUUAGAGAAACUCGCUUAUUAAUCGACAACACCCGUUAAGUUUCACUUAAUUUAAAAGUUUAUAUACCGCCGUUUCAGAAUUAAUUUUAAAAUAAAACUCACACCUCUAAACCUAAGAAAAAAAUCAGGUCAAGGUGUAACACAUGAUUAAGAAUAAGUAAGUUACAUUAAAAAAAAUUUAAGGAUUUAAUAAGAAAAUUAGAAAUAAAAAAGAAUUUAUUAGUACGUUAAGAUUAAAAUACUAAACAGAAUAAAUUAAUUAAAACGC
rnacentral:rRNA from 1 species